UACGUAGGUGGCAAGCGUUGUCCGGAAUUAUUGGGCGUAAAGCGCGCGCAGGCGGUUCUUUAAGUCUGAUGUGAAAGCCCACGGCUCAACCGUGGAGGGUCAUUGGAAACUGGGGAACUUGAGUACAGAAGAGGAAAGCGGAAUUCCACGUGUAGCGGUGAAAUGCGUAGAGAUGUGGAGGAACACCAGUGGCGAAGGCGGCUUUCUGGUCUGUAACUGACGCUGAGGCGCGAAAGUGUGGGGAGCGAACAGG
rnacentral:rRNA from 1 species